AAGCAGUUAGAACCCAGGAUCACCCCAGCAACAGGGAAGAGAAACCUUCAGGGUUUUCUUUAAAACAAUCUGAGAGUAGUUUUGAAGGUUGCACUACAAUGCGGUCUGAAAUCUGAAAGGACUGCUUUACUGAGUUGAAUCAAGUGACUUGUAUGGGAAGGUGUCAUUCUCCUUUUACACCAGCACAGAGAGCUGAGGUGACUUGACCCAGUUUACUUAAGAGAUCACAGCAGAGCCGGGCUUUGAAUCCUAAAGAAAGGAAGUUUGCAGCUUGCAGAAGGGGCAAUGAGGGUGUUUG